UACGGAGGAUUCAAGCGUUAUCCGGAUUUAUUGGGUUUAAAGGGUGCGUAGGCGGUCGGAUAAGUUAGAGGUGAAAUGUCGGGGCUCAACCCCGAAACUGCCUCUAAUACUGUUGGACUAGAGAAUAGUUGCGGUAGGCGGAAUGUAUGGUGUAGCGGUGAAAUGCUUAGAGAUCAUACAGAACACCGAUUGCGAAGGCAGCUUACCAAGCUACUUCUGACGUUGAGGCACGAAAGCGUGGGGAGCAAACAGG
rnacentral:rRNA from 1 species